rnacentral:rRNA from 1 species
CACCGCGGUUAUACGAGAGGCCCAGGUUGACAACUUCCGGCGUAAAGCGUGGUUAGGUCAAACAUAAACUAAAGUCGAAUACCCCCCUUGCUGUUAUAAGCAAUUGGAGAUGAGAAGCCCAACUACGAAAGUGACUUUACAACCCUGAGCCCACGAAAGCUAAGAUA